rnacentral:rRNA from 1 species
CACCCUUUGUUUAUUACACUUUGUUGCUUUGGCAAGCCUGCCCUCGGGCUGCUGGCUCCGGCCGGCGAGCGCUUGCCAGAGGACCUAAACUCUGUUUGUCUAUACUGUCUGAGUACUAUAUAAUAGUUAAAACUUUCAACAACGGAUCUCUUGGUUCUGGCAUCGAUGAAGAACGCAGCGAAAUGCGAUAAGUAAUGUGAAUUGCAGAAUUCAGUGAAUCAUCGAAUCUUUGAACGCACAUUGCGCCCCCUGGUAUUCCGGGGGGCAUGCCUGUCCGAGCGUCAUUACAACCCUCAAGCUCAGCUUGGUGUUGGGCCCCGCCGCCCCGGCGGGCCCUAAAGUCAGUGGCGGUGCCGUCCGGCUCCGAGCGUAGUAAUUCUUCUCGCUCUGGAGGUCCGGUCGUGUGCUCGCCAGCAACCCCCAAUUUUUUUCAGGUUGACCUCGGAUCAGGUAGGGAUACCCGCUGAACUUAAGCAUAUCA